rnacentral:rRNA from 1 species
GGGCCCGCACAAGCGGUGGAGCAUGUGGUUUAAUUCGACGCAACGCGCAGAACCUUACCAGCCCUUGACAUCCCGUGACCGGCCCAGAGAUGGGUUUUCCCCGCAAGGGGCACGGAGACAGGUGCUGCAUGGCUGUCGUCAGCUCGUGUCGUGAGAUGUUGGGUUAAGUCCCGCAACGAGCGCAACCCUUGCCUUCAGUUGCCAUCAUUUAGUUGGGCACUCUGGAGGGACUGCCGGCGGCAAGCCGGAGGAAGGUGGGGAUGACGUCAAGUCCUCAUGGCCCUUACGGGCUGGGCUACACACGUGCUACAAUGGUGGCGACAGAGGGCACAAGCGAGAGCGCGAGCUUUAGCAAAUCCUCAAAAGCCAUCUCAGUUCAGAUUGCACUCUGCAACUCGGGUGCAUGAAGGUGGAAUCGCUAGUAAUCGCAGAACAGCAGGCUGCGGUGAAUACGUUCCCGGGCCUU